rnacentral:rRNA from 1 species
CCUACGGGAGGCAGCAGUGAGGAAUAUUGGUCAAUGGGCGGAAGCCUGAACCAGCCAAGUAGCGUGCGGGAUGACGGCCCUACGGGUUGUAAACUGCUUUUGCACGGGGGUAAACCCCUCCACGUGUGGAGGUCUUCAGGUACCGUCAGAAUAAGGGCCGGCUAAUUCCGUGCCAGCAGCCGCGGUAAUACGGAGGUCCCGAGCGUUAUCCGGAUUUAUUGGGGUUAAAGGGGGCGUAGGCGGGCGUGCAAGUCAGUUGGAAAAUCGCGCGGCUCAACCGCGCACCGCAGUUUGAACUGGGCGCCUUGAGUGCACAACAGGCAGGCGGAAUUCGUGGUGUAGCGGUGAAAGGCAUAGAUAGCACGAGGAACCCCGAUUGCGAAGGCAGCCUGCCGGGGUGCGACUGACGCUGAGGCUCGAAGGUGCGGGUAGCAAACAGGAUUAGAUACCCUUGUAGUC